UCUGAUUCUGCCAACGCCCAGGACUUGGUAUUCUCAUCAAGAUGUCAUCGAACACUAUGUCCUGAAAAUCUGCGUAAUUUUUUGGUUCUUCUUUUUGUGCUUAAAUAGAAUUGAUGUAUAGCAUGUAUAAUGUGUGGCAGAUAACAGUUAGCUAAGGUAAGAUGUGUCAGCAUUUGGUGUCCAAGUGAGAUAGAACAGGAGUUAUUUAAGAUUUUUAGGUUACAUGAACAUAAGAAGACCUGGCAUUUUGAUGCAUGUAGAAAGAUAUUGAUAUUAUAAUAAACAACGUCUUCCACAGGAAGAUACACUUCAUUCAGCAGUCCAUCAACAUGAACUUUUAAAAAUUUUAAAUUGUAUUAGGAAGGUUUUUAGAAUAAAAUUUCAACUCAUGUUCAACUUACUAAUGUUCCAUGCAUGCAUAUCUUGGCUAAUAAUGAUAA
rnacentral:lncRNA from 10 species